AGCCGCGAAACACCCUCGGCGACGGAGGAGCGUGGGGCUACUCAGGUGUCAGAGGCGUGGGUGAGUGGUGGUGGCGUGCGGGGAAGGUUCUGCGCGAGAUGGCCAAUGGUUGGCCUAACAUGCGGCGGCUGAAGGCUUGGUGGCUAGGGUUUUUUUAUGUUUGCUGAAAAUGUUGAUAGCUAGUGGGCUAGGGUUAGUUUGGGCUUGUUGGGUUUGAAAUUGGGUCUGAAAUGGGUUUUAAUUGUUUGGGUUAUACAUAUGUUGUAAAUGGACUUAAAAAAUUGGACUUUAAUUGUUUAUUUGGGUUUUA